GAAACAUCUUAGUACCCGGAGGAAGAGAAAGAAAAUUCGAUUCCCUUAGUAGCGGCGAGCGAAACGGGAAGAGCCCAAACCAACAAGCUUGCUUGUUGGGGUUGUAGGACACUCUAUACGGAGUUACAAAGGACGACAUUAGACGAAUCAUCUGGAAAGAUGAAUCAAAGAAGGUAAUAAUCCUGUAGUCGAAAAUGUUGUCUCUCUUGAGUGGAUCCUGAGUACGACGGAGCACGUGAAAUUCCGUCGGAAUCUGGGAGGACCAUCUCCUAAGGCUAAAUACUCUCUAGUGACCGAUAGUGAACCAGUACCGUGAGGGAAAGGUGAAAAGCACCCCGGAAGGGGAGUGAAAUAGAACCUGAAACCGUGUGCUUACAAGUAGUCAGAGCCCGUUAAUGGGUGAUGGCGUGCCUUUUGUAGAAUGAACCGGCGAGUUACGAUUUGAUGCAAGGUUAAGCAGUAAAUGUGGAGCCGUAGCGAAAGCGAGUCUGAAUAGGGCGUUUAGUAUUUGGUCGUAGACCCGAAACCAGGUGAUCUACCCUUGGUCAGGUUGAAGUUCAGGUAACACUGAAUGGAGGACCGAACCGACUUACGUUGAAAAGUGAGCGGAUGAACUGAGGGUAGCGGAGAAAUUCCAAUCGAACCUGGAGAUAGCUGGUUCUCUCCGAAAUAGCUUUAGGGCUAGCCUCAAGUGAUGAUUAUUGGAGGUAGAGCACUGUUUGGACGAGGGGCCCCUCUCGGGUUACCGAAUUCAGACAAACUCCGAAUGCCAAUUAAUUUAACUUGGGAGUCAGAACAUGGGUGAUAAGGUCCGUGU
rnacentral:rRNA from 1 species